rnacentral:rRNA from 1 species
AUACGGAGGGUGCAAGCGUUACUCGGAAUCACUGGGCGUAAAGGACGCGUAGGCGGGAUGCCAAGUCUGAUGUGAAAUCCUAUGGCUCAACCAUAGAACUGCAUUGGAAACUGGUAACCUAGAGUAUGGGAGGGGGAGAUGGAAUUAGUGGUGUAGGGGUAAAAUCCGUAGAUAUCACUAUGAAUACCGAAAGCGAAGGCGAUCUCCUGGAACAUUACUGACGCUAAGGCGUGAAAGCGUGGGGAGCAAACAGGAUUAGAAACCCCAGUAGUCC